CCCACCACUGGAGCUGUGGUCUCCAAGCCU
rnacentral:piRNA from 1 species